UGCAAGUCGAGCGGUAAGGCCCUUCGGGGUACACGAGCGGCGAACGGGUGAGUAACACGUGGGUGAUCUGCCUUGCACUUCGGGAUAAGCCUGGGAAACUGGGUCUAAUACCGGAUAUGACCUUGGAAUGCAUGUUCUGGGGUGGAAAGAUUUAUCGGUGCGAGAUGGGCCCGCGGCCUAUCAGCUUGUUGGUGAGGUAACGGCUCACCAAGGCGACGACGGGUAGCCGACCUGAGAGGGUGACCGGCCACACUGGGACUGAGACACGGCCCAGACUCCUACGGGAGGCAGCAGUGGGGAAUAUUGCACAAUGGGCGCAAGCCUGAUGCAGCGACGCCGCGUGCGGGAUGACGGCCUUCGGGUUGUAAACCGCUUUUGACAGGGACGAAGCGCAAGUGACUGUACCUGUAGAAUAAGGACCGGCCAACUACGUGCCAGCAGCCGCGGUAAUACGUAGGGUCCGAGCGUUGUCCGGAAUUACUGGGCGUAAAGAGCUUGUAGGCGGUUCGUCGCGUCGUUUGUGAAAACUUGGGGCUCAACCUUAAGCUUGCAGGCGAUACGGGCGGACUAGAGUACUUCAGGGGAGACUGGAAUUCCUGGUGUAGCGGUGAAAUGCGCAGAUAUCAGGAGGAACACCGGUGGCGAAGGCGGGUCUCUGGGAAGUAACUGACGCUGAGAAGCGAAAGCAUGGGUAGCAAACAGGAUUAGAUACCCUGGUAGUCCAUGCCGUAAACGGUGGGUACUAGGUGUGGGGCUCCUUCCACGGACUCCGUGCCGUAGCUAACGCAUUAAGU
rnacentral:rRNA from 1 species